UAGGGAAUCUUCCACAAUGGGCGAAAGCCUGAUGGAACAACGCCGCGUGAGUGAGGAAGGCUUUCGGGUCGUAAAGCUCUGUUGCCAGGGAAGAAUAAGGGUGAGAGUAACUGCUCAUCCGAUGACGGUACCUGAGAAGAAAGCCCCGGCUAACUACGUGC
rnacentral:rRNA from 1 species